rnacentral:rRNA from 1 species
GACGUAGGGGGCGAGCGUUGUCCGGAAUCAUUGGGCGUAAAGCGCGCGUAGGCGGCCCUGUUAGUCCGCUGUAAAAGUCAAAGGCUCAACCUUUGAAUGCCGGUGGAUACUGCAGGGCUAGAGUCCGGAAGAGGCGAGUGGAAUUCCUGGUGUAGCGGUGGAAUGCGCAGAUAUCAGGAGGAACACCAACGGCGAAGGCAGCUCGCUGGGACGGUACUGACGCUAAGGCGCGAAAGCGUGGGGAGCGAACGGG